rnacentral:ncRNA from 1 species
ACAAACGCAAUGACGAAGAGAGUACAUCGGAUGCAGGCAUUACAGAGAAUUCCCGGAUGCUGAGAGGGAAGUGUGAGUAUAGAUGGAAGAUGGCUUCUGAGUGGUGCACCGAACAUGGAAAAGGCAAGUGGCUGUGGACAUGGCCCAAUCUGCCGGUUUUGUGCAAGGCUGCAACGGGAACCGCCUGUUACAGCGGUGUAGUGUACGAUUGGAAAAUGGUAUUUUAAUAUCAGCUCCAGGGAUGUGCACUUGCAGAGAUUUGUUUCGCGAGAAAUGAAUGAAGUGAAGUGGUAACACGGGAUGAUAACACCCGUCUUCUCA